rnacentral:rRNA from 1 species
AUUGAACGCUGGCGGCAUGCUUUACACAUGCAAGUCGAACGGUAACAGGCCGCAAGGUGCUGACGAGUGGCGAACGGGUGAGUAAUGCAUCGGAACGUGCCCAGUCGUGGGGGAUAACGCAGCGAAAGCUGCGCUAAUACCGCAUACGAUCUAUGGAUGAAAGCGGGGGACCGUAAGGCCUCGCGCGAUUGGAGCGGCCGAUGUCAGAUUAGGUAGUUGGUGGGGUAAAGGCUCACCAAGCCAACGAUCUGUAGCUGGUCUGAGAGGACGACCAGCCACACUGGGACUGAGACACGGCCCAGACUCCUACGGGAGGCAGCAGUGGGGAAUUUUGGACAAUGGGCGCAAGCCUGAUCCAGCAAUGCCGCGUGCAGGAAGAAGGCCUUCGGGUUGUAAACUGCUUUUGUACGGAACGAAACGGUCUGGGUUAAUACCUCGGGCUAAUGACGGUACCGUAGGAAUAAGCACCGGCUAACUACGUGCCAGCAGCCGCAGUAACAC